rnacentral:tRNA from 1 species
GAAGGUAUAGCUCAGUGGUAGAGCGCGUGCUAAGCACGCAUGAGGUUGGGUUCAAUCCCCAGUACCCCCA